rnacentral:rRNA from 1 species
AAUGAACGUUGGCGGCGUGGAUUAGGCAUGCAAGUCGAGCGGGUGCAGCAAUGCACCAGCGGCGCAAGGGUGAGUAAGGCGACGGCAACCAACCCCGAGGAUGGGUAUAGCCGCGGGAAACUGCGGGUAAUCCCCAGCGAUGUGACGGCGUCGGCAUCGACGCCUCACCAAAGGAUUCGUCCGCCUCGGGACGGGCCGUCGUGGUAUUAGGUCGUUGGCGGGGUAGCGGCCCACCAAGCCUUCGAUGCCUACCGGGCGUGCGAGCGCGGCCCGGCGACACUGGGACUGAGACACUGCCCAGACUCUUACGGGAGGCUGCAGUCGAGAAUCUUCGGCAAUGGGCGGCAAGACCUGACCGAGCGGACGCCGCCGUGGAGGACGAA